rnacentral:tRNA from 1 species
GGUUGCUAGUAAAAUUUACAUUUCAGGUACCACAAACCUGUAUUUUUUUUAAAUUAUAGCAAC